AACGAACGCUGGCGGCAUGCCUAACACAUGCAAGUCGAACGAGACCUUCGGGUCUAGUGGCGCACGGGUGCGUAACGCGUGGGAACCUGCCCUUAGGUUCGGAAUAACUCCCCGAAAGGGGUGCUAAUACCGGAUAAUAUCUUCGGACCAAAGAUGUAUCGCCUUUGGAGGGGCCCGCGUUGGAUUAGCUAGUUGGUAGGGUAAAAGCCUACCAAGGCGACGAUCCUUAGCUGGUCUGAGAGGAUGAGCAGCCACACUGGGACUAGGACACGGCCCAGACUCCUACAGGAGGCGGCAGUGGGGAAUCUUGCCCUAUCGGCGCUAGCCUGAACCAGCAAUGCCGCGUGAGUGAUGAAGGCCUUGGGGUUGGAAAGCACUUUAACCCGGUAUGGUAAUGACAGUACCGUGAGAAUAAGCACCGGCUAACUCCGUG
rnacentral:rRNA from 1 species